UACGUAGGGUGCAAGCGUUGUCCGGAAUUAUUGGGCGUAAAGAGCUCGUAGGCGGUCUGUCGCGUCGGCUGUGAAAACUCGAGGCUCAACCCCGAGCCUGCAGUCGAUACGGGCAGACUAGAGUGCGGUAGGGGAGACUGGAAUUCCUGGUGUAGCGGUGAAAUGCGUAGAUAUCGGAAGGAACACCAGUGGCGAAGGCGGCUACCUGGAUUGACACUGACACUGAGGCGCGAGAGCGUGGGGAGCAAACAGG
rnacentral:rRNA from 1 species